UCCGGAUAAAUUGAGCACACGAAAUCUCUUCUGAUCGUACAUCACUAUCCUUUUGAUCCCUGAAGUUAGUGUAAUUUAUGGUGAUGCCCAACUCGGGUGGCUUCGCAGUGACCCGGACCCGCGUUUCGGACCGGUUCUACAACCCUCCGCCGGUUCGGAGACAGCACCAGUUGCUGUUGCAGCAGCAGUUGCAGAGGGCGGUGAAGUCGGAGUCCAGAGUGGACUCAAGCGACCCGGAUAUCCUGACUGACUCGGAAGAGUCGACAUUGUCCAGGCCCAACUCUACAUGCUCGUCAUCUUCCCCGAGAAACACCGACUUGACCAAUUUGGAUCGGCUUAUGGAAUCGUUCACUCCCGUUGUACCUGCUCUGUUUCUCUCCGAGGAGGCCUGGUGAGGACAGUGAUGCUGAGUCUUUCUUAUUGCUGGCAGCAGUGACUGUGAGGCAGAAAGGCAAUCUAAAAAUGUUGUUGAUGGAGCUUGGGGUAAGCAUAAUCUCAUCUCCUUAAACUCUCAGAGAAUGAGGAAGCUAACAUUGAGAGAUAAACCUGCCAAUAGUUCAUCCAAUGAUAAACCAGAGGUUUACAGCUCACCCGAGCUCCCUGUAUUUGAAUAUUUUGAACAAGAACAACCGCACCAUCGCCAACCUUUUUAUGAUAAAAGCUGCAGUUGUACAGGAGUUACGAUCUUCUGCCUGCAAGUUGGGUUUCUGUGGCUUGGUAUGUUCUUUUUCCUACAAAUUUAAUUGCAAGAAAUUGGCAUCGUGAUUGAGUCAUUUAGUAUACCUACUUAAUGAAUUUAAAUGUGGAUCCAGGUAUCCGAUAUAUAGAAUACCUGUAGGUCCAACACUGCAAAAUCUGGAUGCAUCUUUUCUAACCUUCCAUUCCUUAUGGACACACUCCAGAAGUAUCUCACUUUCUCUCUAUAUAUGAAUAUCAGUUGUGUUAUGAUUUUUUUGCUAAUCCAUAUCUAACAGGUGCAGGCAAAAAUCAAUCAAAGUUUCAUGCUUCAAGUGGCAGGAAGGUCGAUGGGAAUGAGCCAUCAUCAAAGAUUUCCCUGCCCCUUUUGGCCUUGCUUCAUAUAAGUUGAGAGGUUCAAUUUUUACUCCUAGUGGAGCCAAUGAAUGUCAGCACGCAAACUCUCUAUUGCAGGCUGCUGAGAUUUGGCUCCAACAGUUGCAGGUUAAUCUUCCUGAUUUCCAGUUCUUUGUUUCCCACAGCUCGCAAUGGAGAUGACGGGGGGCUUGACUUCAAAUGUUCUUCCAUAUGGGCAUAGAAGUUCAAGUUGUAUCGCCGGAAUGAGAUGUGAUAGAAUAUAAAUGCCUCAAAAAAACGAUCCUAAGUAGCGGCUUGAUUUUCAGUGUUGUCAUCCUUAGAACAAUGUAAGUUUCUCCUCAGAAGCAGAACAGUCCAUAAGAGGUUGGAAGAGAAAAAAGACAGAGACGCACGAGUCACAUGAAGUGAGCAAAAGGAACUUGGUCAUGCAACUAGAUUUUGUUCAAAGUCUGCAGGUGCACAAAGGGCUGGUUAGACAGCUGUUUAUUGUAUUUGAGCAGGGCAUGAGAACUGGGAUGCGAACAACACUGCAAUCAGAUUGCCUCACUUGUUUUUUGUUGGGUUUGGGGACUGGGGAGAGAGAGGUGGGGCGCAUGACUAAAUAGUAUCCAGCAUAUUGUGGUUCACUGAUCCCAUCACUGAUUUUUGGACCAACAUUUGGCAAUAUUGAUGGAACUUUCGGAAAUC